GUGCUCACUUCAGCAGCACAUAUUCUAAAAUCGGAAUGAUACAGAGAAGAUUAGCAUGGCCCCUAUGCAAGGAUGACAUGUAAAUUCGUGAAGCAUUCCAUAUUUAA
rnacentral:snRNA from 1 species